rnacentral:rRNA from 1 species
AGAGGGUAGUGGAAUUUCUCGGCGUAGCGGUGAAAUGCGUAGAGAUCGGAAAGAACACCAGUGGGGAAGGCGACUACCUGGCACCAUAAUGACACUGAGGCACGAAAAGCGUGGGGAUCAAACAGGAUUAGAUACCCUGGUAGUCCACGCCGUAAACGAUGAGAACUGGAUGAGGGGGGAUUUACUUCCUCCGUGUCGAAGCUAACGCGUUAAGUUCUCCGCCUGGGGAGUACGGCCGCAAGGCUAAAACUCAAAGGAAUUGACGGGGGCCCGCACAAGCGGUGGAGUAUGUGGUUUAAUUCGAUGCAACGCGAAAAACCUUACCUGGUCUUGACAUGUCCGGAAUCCUGCAGAGAUGCGGGAGUGCCUUCGGGAACCGGAACACAGGUGCUGCAUGGCUGUCGUCAGCUCGUGUCGUGAGAUGUUGGGUUAAGUCCCGCAACGAGCGCAACCCUUGUUUUUAGUUGCCAUCAAGUAAUGUUGGGCACUCUAGAGAGACUGCCGGUGAUAAGCUGGAGGAAGGCGGGGAUGACGUCAAGUCCUCAUGGCCCUUAUGACCAGGGCUACACACGUACUACAAUGGGCGUUACAGAGGGUCGCGAAACCGUGAGGUGGAGCUAAUCUCAGAAAAGCGCUCACAGUCCGGAUUGGAGUCUGCAACUCGACUCCAUGAAGUUGGAAUCGCUAGUAAUCGCGAAUCAGCAUGUCGCGGUGAAUACGUUCCCGGGCCUUGUACACACCGCCCGUCACGCCAUGGGAAUGGGUUGUACCAGAAGCUGGUAGGGUAACC